rnacentral:lncRNA from 1 species
CCAGGCUAAAACUCUAGGGAACUCACCAGAAACCUUGCACUCACUUUUCUUUCUUUUCUUUCUUUUUCUUUUGGAAGGAUAUGGACUUCCUUCUUGUUGCCCAGCUAUGCAACCCAAGAGGGGGGGGUGAAUUGGGUUUCUAAAAAUUUUAAGCCCAACAGAUAACUUAUGAAGAACAAAACAAUGGCUUUAAAUCAAUAUUAAUUACCUAAAGCAGUAUUGCAAGGAUAUAAUAAAGAAAUAAGAUAAAGCGAUAAAGCACACCACAAACACAAGGAUUUAUAGUGGUUUGGUGCUAACCUUACACCUACAUCCACUCCCCAAGAUCCC